UACGUAGGCAGCAGGCGUUGUUCGGAGUUACUGGGCGUAAAGAGUGCGUAGGCGGUGCUCCAAGUCUGUUGUGAAAUCUCCCGGCUUAACUGGGAGGGUGCGGUGGAAACUGGGGUGCUUGAGUGUGGGAGAGGUAAGCGGAAUUCCUGGUGUAGCGGUGAAAUGCGUAGAUAUCAGGAGGAACACCGGUGGUGUAGACGGCUUACUGGACCAUGACUGACGCUGAGGCACGAAAGCGUGGGGAGCAAACAGG
rnacentral:rRNA from 1 species